CUCUACUAAAAUACAAAAAUUAGCCAGGCGUGGUGGUGUGUAGCUGUAAUCCCAGCUACAUGGGAGGCUGAGGCAGGAGAAUUGCUUGAGCCUGGGAGGUAGAGGUUGCAGUGAGCCGAGAUCACCCCACUGCACUCCAGACAGAGCUAGACUCCAUCUCCAAAAAAAAAAAAAAAAAAGCAAAUUACCCCAAAACUAGCAGCAUGAGACUAUAAAUGUUUAUCAUUUCACAUAGUUCCUGAGAACCAUCCAGUGAGCUGCUUCACUGGAUGGUUCUGGCUCACAGUCUCUGAUAAGGUUGCAAUCAGAAUGUCACUGGGGGCUUCUGUCAUUUGAAACCUUGACCAGGGCUGGUGGAUCCACUUCUGAGAAGGCUUCUUCACUCUUCUAAGGAGGCUCAGCAACUCACAUGGUUGCUGGCAAAAGGUUUGUCACGUGAACUGUCCCAUGACAUGGCAGCUGGUUUUCUCCAGACCAAGUGGGGAUGGAGAGAAAGACAAAAAGAAUGACCAAGAUGGUGGCUGCAAUGUCUUUUAUAACCGAAUCUCAGAAGUGACAUACCAUCACUUCUGCCAUAUUCUAUGGUCGCACAAACCAACCCUGGUACAAUAUGGGAAGGGACUGUACAAGGAUGUGAAUAUUCAGAGACAGGGAGGCCGGCUACCAGGCCACAGCUGGUUUUCUUUUCUUUUUUUUUUUUUUUUUGAGACGGAGUUUUGUUCUUGUUGACCGCCCAGGCUGGAGUGCAAUGGCACGAUCUCAGCUCACCGCAACCUCUGCCUCCUGAGUUCAAGUGAUUCUCCUGCCUCAGCCUCCCGAGUAGCUGGGAUUACAGGUAAGGGUCACCACGCCCGGCUAAUUUUGUAUUUUUAGUAGAGACAGGAUUUCUCCAUGUUGGUCAGGCUGGUCUCGAAUUCCCGACCUCAGGUGAUCCACCCGCCUCGGCCUCCCAAAGUGCUGGGAUUAUAGGCAUAUGACACCGCACCUGGCCACAACUAUUAAUAACAAUAAGAUAUUUUUUCUCAAAAGCAUGUUUUGGUUAUUAAAUAUAUAUUUCAAAUAUACAUUUAAAUGCAUAUUUCAAUAUAUUUAAUCUUAAACUUUUCAAAUAAUAAUAAAUAAUGAUAUUUACUUAGUACUUUCUAUAUGCCAAUCACUAUGUUAAGCAUGUGAUGUGAGACUGUCUCUCACAGACAGCCUCACAGUUGUCCAGGCAACCCUUAACAGCUCUAAAGGAUGCAUUUAUUAGUUGCCUCAUUUUACAGAAAGGAAACCUGAAGCACAGAGAGGUUUAAGUAACCUGCCCAAGGACACACAUCUAGUAAGUAAAUCAGCAUAUAAACCCAGAGCUAUCCACGUAAGUACCGACAGCAUGGCUAAGCUAUACUGAUUCUCUCUAGUCAGUUUUGUGAAAUAAAUCUCUAACUAUCGAUGCUUUGCAAGUUAAGUACUAUCAUUCUAUUUAAGCAGUUAAGGAUUUCCCUACAGUCACAGAGUAAAUAAACUAAGACUCAAAACUGGAAGUUAGGUUUGUGGAGUUCUGUCACAAUUAUGAUGACAAUAAUGACUCUGUCUUUUCUCCUACUACUCUCCUCUUCCCUGUCUCCUGUCCAGCCACGUUGCCUCCUGGCUGUUCCUGGAACACUCCAGGAAAAGACAGAAGCUGAUUGAGGUCCCAGCUUGGUAACAGUUUGAAGAGUUGCAGGACUGGCUGGAUGAGUACUGGCUGCAGCAAAUCAGGCUGCCAGGAUUCUUUAUGGCUGUUUCUGCUUCCACUACAGCUGAGUCAGAAAGGUCGCUGCCCCGUGGUGGCACUAGACGCAGUGGACCUGGCAAGCAAAUGUUUCCGCUAUUAGCUCUCAGCAACAGAGACUCAUUUAUGGUCACCUUGGAAAUCUGGGCUUAUCGAUCUACAGCCCAAGUCUGCUGAGAAGCUGGAGCUUACUAAAGGGGAAACCUGAGAGCUGUUCAAGCCCCAAAUAUUUUCCACUUCUGCGUCACCUCUGCUGUCUGUUAGCAGAGUGGAGGAGAAAAUACACAGCACAAACAACGUGAAAAAAUAGUUACUCUAUUCAUUAAAAGCUGUAACUUCCAGAUUGGACUUGAGAAGCAAUUAAGCAACAGAGGAACCUCAUCUACUAUCUGUAUUCAGGCAUGCUCAUGAGAACACGCUGCUCCAGCUGGACUUAGAGGAACCCGGUGCAUCACAGGCAUUCCUGACAGAGUCUCGUGGUCCUGCUGGUCCACUCAGUGGUACUCAGUCCUCCUCAUUCUCGGGGAUAGGUUCCAAGACCCCCAGGGGAUGCCUGAAACUGCGGAUGGUACCGAACCCUACAUAUAUUAUGUUUUUUUCCUAUACAUACAUACCUAUGAUAAAGCUUAAUUUACAAAUUAGAUAGAGUAAGAGAUUAACAACAAUUACAGCAAUAUACUGAAAUAAAAGUUAUGUGAAUGUGGUCUCUCUCUCUCUCUCUGAAUAUCAUAUUGUAAGUAAUACUUUCAAACCAUGGGUAACUAAAGCAGCUGAAAGUGAUACCUUGGAUCAGGCAGGGCCACUGUCCUGGCUCCCUCUUCCCCACUAGCGCCUUUCUUCCACGUAUAUAGUCAAGACAAGAUUUAAGUGGUGUUUUUCCAUAACGCCUCCCACAAAUGCUCCAGCCUGAAACUGAUUUCUCUUUUCUGAUCUUUAUAGUCCUGUAGUUAGUCAUUCUUAAAGUUCUGUGCAUAUGCUGCAUUCUAUUAUUCAGCCAUGCAGGGCUAUGUCCUGUCAUUAAGAACAGAGGAACAAGCCAGAUCUCUGUAGUCCCAUAACUAAUAUCAUGCCUGGAAUAUAGUGAGUGCUCUUCAAACAUUUCAUAGGUCCUUUUAGAGGUCCUGGGGCAUAGUCAACUUUGGAAGCAUUCAACCAUAAUGAAUUUUAAAUAAAAAUAUAUGAAAAAAAAUUUUUUUAAGCCCCCAAUCUCUGAGCCCAGGAAUUCAAGACCAGCCUAGACGGCAUAGUGAGACCCUGUCUCCACAAAAAAUAAAAAAUAGGGCCGGGCACGGUGGUAUAUGCCUGUAAUCCCAGCACUUUGGGAGACCAAGGCAGGUGGAUCAUUUGAGGUCAGGAGUUCAAGAUCAGCCUGGCCAACAUGGUGAAACCCCAUUUCUACCAAAAAUACAAAAAUUAGCCAGAUGUGGUGGCACACGUCUGUAGUCCCAGCUACUUGGGAGGCUCAGGGAGGAGAAUCUCUUGAGCCUGGGAAGUGGAGGUUGCAGUGAGCUGAGAUUAUGCCACUGUACUCCAGCCUGGGCAACAGAGUGAGACCUUGUCUCAAAAUAAAAUAAAAUAAUAAAAUAAUUCCCCAAAUAUUUUUCUAGCCUUUUAAAAGAUACGUAUUAUGUACUGAAAAAACAACAACAACAACUAGUUUUUCUGUCAGAAUUGUUGUCAAAUACAGGAAACAAUUCAAAUAUCAAAACAUUAAUCAAGAUAAUCUGUGAGUAUGUUCACACACAUGCACAAAUACAAACACGCAAAGCCACACAAACAUCCUAUUACCAAGCGGCUGUGAUUCACUGCAGGGCACAGUGUGUCUCCUGUAUAUGCAGCAAAAUUGCGGACCUCUCGCAAAAGCCUGUGAAGGAGGAGAUAUCUCUAACCUCACAAAUGCUAGCAUUUUGAUGAGUUUUCACUGAAUUUAGCAAACUUUUAGUCUCCUUUAUCCCCAUCUGCCAAGUGAAGAUAUUCUUAUACUUAAUAUUCUUCUCUAAGGUUUUGAAUAGAAAGAAAUAUUGCUACACAUUUUUCUGAAGUCCUUUUCUCUUAUAGGUGAAAUGCCAUCACAUCCUUCAUACUCAUAUUUUUAGGACCAUAGGAGACCCAAUAUAUCUGUCUGUAUUGCAAUAAAUUACAAGGCUUUGACCAAAGACCCAGUUCCUAACUGACUGCUCUUGAAGCCAGCUCCACUGCAGAAUUAAGGAACAGAGAUGAGACUUGUCUGACAUGGGGAACUGUCACAGGAUAAUACCUUUGAAAAGCCUGGUUUUAGAACUUGCCUCUCUCAAUUUGAGGCAGUGUAUGUUUUUAAGUUUCUAAAAAUAAGAUAUUAUAAGAUUUGUAACAUUACAAUGACUGCCAAUGCAAAGAACCUCUGGGACUCUAGUGCAUCAGUGGAAUAUCAGCACAUUGAUGGACAUGUGGACUAUUUGGAUUCAGAAGACCUGGUUUGAGCUCAUCUCUGCUGCCAACUGUCUGUGUGACCUUAAGUAAAAUUAUCUCCUCUCUCUGAACCUCUGAUUCCUCUUUUGUAAAAUGAGGAAGAUGAUGAUACUUGUUUUACAACAAGUGAUUGUGAGGCACACGGGAUGCUAGCCACAAAAGCGUUUCAUAGUUGACGUGUUAGUUACUCAUUAGUAGUUCAAGUAGUGUUGCUCUGCUGCAGUGGUCCUCAAACUUCAGUGUGCAUCAGGAUCACCUGGAGGGCGGGUUAAACUGCACAUUGCUGAGCCACACCUCCAGAGAUUCCAAUUCAGCAGGUCUGGAGGGUGCCUGAGACUUUGUCUUUCUAGCAAGUUCUCAGGUGAUGCUGAAGCUGCUGGUCUAAGAUUGCACUUUGAGAACCACUGCUCUACUGAAAUUCCCAGCCAUUUUCCUUCUUACCUCAUGAUGAAUUCCUUAAAGCAUAACCUCAACUUGUUGUGAUGUCGAUAGAGUUUUGGAUCAGCAGGAAUUUCAGCCAAAAACACUUGG
rnacentral:lncRNA from 10 species